UACGAAGGGGGCUAGCGUUACUCGGAAUUACUGGGCGUAAAGGGCUCGUAGGCGGCCAACUAAGUCAUACGUGAAAUCCCCAGGCUCAACCUGGGAACUGCGUCUGAUACUGGUUGGCUUGAAUCCGGGAGAGGGAUGCAGAAUUCCAGGUGUAGCGGUGAAAUGCGUAGAUAUCUGGAGGAAUACCGGUGGCGAAGGCGGCAUCCUGGACCGGCAUUGACGCUGAGGAGCGAAAGCCAGGGGAGCAAACGGG
rnacentral:rRNA from 1 species